GACGAACGCUGGCGGCGUGCUUAACACAUGCAAGUCGAGCGGUAAGGCCCUUUCGGGGGUACGACGAGCGGCGAACGGGUGAGUAACACGUGGGUGACCUGCCCUCAGCUCUGGGAUAAGCCUGGGAAACCGGGUCUAAUACCGGAUAUGACUCCAUGACGCAUGUUGUGGGGUGGAAAGCCUUGUGCGGCUGAGGAUGGGCCCGCGGCCUAUCAGCUUGUUGGUGGGGUGANGGCCUACCAAGGCGACGACGGGUAGCCGGCCUGAGAGGGCGACCGGCCACACUGGGACUGAGACACGGCCCAGACUCCUACGGGAGGCAGCAGUGGGGAAUCUUGCGCAAUGGGCGAAAGCCUGACGCAGCGACGCCGCGUGAGGGAUGACGGCCUGGUUGUAACU
rnacentral:rRNA from 1 species